GCUGGGUUGGCCGAGUGGUUAAGGCGUUGGACUUAAGUUCCAAUGGACAAGUGUCCGCGUGGGUUCGAACCCCACACCCAGUA
rnacentral:tRNA from 1 species